UGGGGAAUCUUGCGCAAUGGGCGGAAGCCUGACGCAGCGACGCCGCGUGCGGGACGAAGGCCUUCGGGUCGUAAACCGCUUUCAGCAGGGACGAGGCCCUCACGGUGACGGUACCUGCAGAAGAAGCCCCGGCUAACUACGUGCCAGCAGCCG
rnacentral:rRNA from 1 species